CCUACGGGAGGCUGCAGUGGGGAAUAUUGCACAAUGGGCGCAAGCCUGAUGCAGCCAUGCCGCGUGUGUGAAGAAGGCCUUCGGGUUGUAAAGCACUUUCAGCGGGGAGGGAGGCGUUAAGGUUAAUAACCUUGUCGAUUGACGUUACCCGCAGAAGAAGCACCGGCUAACUCCGUGCCAGCAGCCGCGGUAAUACGGAGGGUGCAAGCGUUAAUCGGAAUUACUGGGCGUAAAGCGCACGCAGGCGGUCUGUCAAGUCGGAUGUGAAAUCCCCGGGCUCAACCUGGGAACUGCAUUCGAAACUGGCAGGCUAGAGUCUUGUAGAGGGGGGUAGAAUUCCAGGUGUAGCGGUGAAAUGCGUAGAGAUCUGGAGGAAUACCGGUGGCGAAGGCGGCCCCCUGGACAAAGACUGACGCUCAGGUGCGAAAGCGUGGGGAGCAAACAGGAUUAGAUACCCGUGUAGUC
rnacentral:rRNA from 1 species